ACACACAAUAAUCCACAAAUUGCAACAAUUUUCAGCAAUUUGGGUAUUGAUUUAGCCAAUUUGCAUGACUGUAACAAUUCAUUAGCAUACAUAUACUUGCCCUGCUUUAGUGCAAAAGCAGUAAACUGCAAACUUUCCUCCAAACAGAAUUAUGGGGGAACACACAAGGAGAGUUAUGUGUGUCCAGGUACACCCUAAUACUGGGCCAGAAUUUCAUCCCUGUCCCCAACACCUGUGGUUGAGUGUCAAGUGUUGUAAUGGAUGUAUGUACCACUGCAAGUUAUGAUAACCAUGCAUGAAUUUGAGGACAGCCUUUUAAACCAUUUAAAUAG